GUCUAGCUAGUAACAUCCAAGUGUCAUGGCCUUUCCUGAUUGCAGAUAAGUGCAUCAUAAACACAUCUCAAGGAUGGAGCAUAAGGAGAUGUACUAAUGAGCCUAAAGUUGCUAACAGAUUCUGAUGGCAGACAUGACAAUUAGUAUACUAUCGUCAUAAACAGAGUGAUGCCAUUAUCAACUGACUUCAACAGAAAAAAAGCAUAAAUAAAUCAGUUUGACGCAAUUGCCAGCC